AUUGAACGCUGGCGGCAUGCCUUACACAUGCAAGUCGAACGGCAGCACGGGAGCAAUCCUGGUGGCGAGUGGCGAACGGGUGAGUAAAGUAUCGGAACGUGCCCAGUCGUGGGGGAUAACGUAGCGAAAGUUACGCUAAUACCGCAUACGAUCUAUGGAUGAAAGCGGGGGAUCGCAAGACCUUGCGCGAUUGGAGCGGCCGAUAUCAGAUUAGGUAGUUGGUGGGGUAAAGGCUCACCAAGCCGACGAUCUGUAGCUGGUCUGAGAGGACGACCAGCCACACUGGGACUGAGACACGGCCCAGACUCCUACGGGAGGCAGCAGUGGGGAAUUUUGGACAAUGGGCGAAAGCCUGAUCCAGCCAUGCCGCGUGCAGGAUGAAGGCCUUCGGGUUGUAAACUGCUUUUGUACGGAACGAAAAGGUUUGGCCUAAUAAGCUGAGCUCAUGACGGUACCGUAAGAAUAAGCACCGGCUAACUACGUGCCAGCAGCCGCGGUAACAC
rnacentral:rRNA from 1 species